AUGGCCUGGGCCCCCCUGCUCCUCGCGUUGCUCACCUACUGCUCAGAUUCGCUCGCCCAGUACGUGCUGACCCAGCCGCCUUCAGUGUCUGUGUCUCCAGGGCAAAAUGCUCAGCUCACCUGCACAGGAGAAAAGUUUGACAAAUACUAUGUGCACUGGUACCAGCAAAAACCUGGCCAGGCCCCCCAACUCGUCAUAUAUAAGGAUAGUGAGAGACCCUCCGGAAUCCCUGAGAGAUUUUCUGGGGCCAGCUCUGGCAACACGGCCACGUUAACCAUCACUGGGGUCCAAGCUGAAGAUGAGGCUGAUUAUUACUGUUACGUGGGGUACGAUGACACUCUACUCACAGUGACACAGCCUGAUGGGGAAGUGAGACACAAACUUCUGGGCAGCCUGGUGUCACAGUAUGGCUACUUAGUAGCCAGUGGAGUGGAUUAG